UGGUCCAACGGUAGGAUAAUUGCCUUCCAAGCAAUUGGCCCGGGUUCGAGUACGUUCUAUCCCAC